rnacentral:lncRNA from 10 species
GGAAUGAGGAAAUCCAGGAGGAUUCACAGGGAUUCUAAGCCAGGGAAGGCUUUUUGCUUCUGUCUCAGGGAGCUGGUACUUCCUGGCUGAUGUCCUCCUCAGGGUGAGAGGCAGCAAUUGUAUUUUCUCCUCCAAGGUCUGGGUGAAUGUGGCAUUUCAAUUUGCUGGUAUGACCCCCACCCUGUCCCUGAUAAGGGUUGUCACCUGUGCUUGAUGUCCUUCCCAGAACAAAUGAGAACAUGUAAGGGGGAGACACCAAGGAAGAUGUUGGAGGAGAAGGCCAGAUUCCUCAUUUAUUUAUAUGAUAUUAAAAAAAAAAUUAAACCUUUGAUUGUCUCCACUAAUAUAACUGCUCUGAAGCCCUGUGCCAGAGCUACUUAUAGCCUCUGAGCAUGGGUGUUGUCUUUGUUGGUCCCUCGAUGCCCAGAAAAGACAGAGGAAAUUGGUUCACUGCUCCUGAGGCUGCUCUAGCCCUUCCUCUUAGCCACAGGUGGGGCUGGACUUUUCUCACCUCUCUUGUGACUCCUCAAGUGGUGGGCUCCUGCCUCCUCUCAGGUAUCCCAUCUGUUUCAGUGCCCUGCCUGUUGCAAGCCUCCUGGCCCAUGCUGGCCAGUUCUUCUCUUGUCAGGGAAGUUAGAGAAAGAAGCCACCUUCCUGCCCUCCUGCGUGUGGUGUGAAGAGAGGUGCCUUACAAGCAAGUGCCUUCAUGGUGAGGAUAAGCUCACAGGCUCAAGGAAGAAACACAAUUGUAAGAACAACAAUGGGGAAAAGGCAGGAUCCAAGUAUUUUGAGCCACUCUUGAUGAUAGAAUUGGUGAUGUGACAGCCACCAAAGGAAUGUGACACAAAGUAGAAAUGAGACCUGAGAUGUGGCCUGGACCUUUACCAUGGAAAUGCCCAUAAAUUGCGUCCCUAUUCCUUAAGAUUUUAUUUAAAGUUAUUUUCAGAAUGUUGUGAAGUUUCCAAUCAUACCAAAAUCUUCAAAAAAAAAAAAAAAAAAAAAAACCCACAGAAUUUACAUUUUAAAAGCACCAUUGUUGUCAUGAUAAUGGUGGCAAGUAAUUUUCAAAUUUGGGUUAUUUUAGAAACAGAAUAAAAGAAGACAACUAUAAUAUAAUCCCAAUAAACAAAAGCAAAUAAAAAGGCUAAAUCAUGGGACUAUCAGUAUAUAGAUUCUACUUAUUACUGUGGUAUUUGUUCCUUAUCUUUAUGAAGUAGUUCAUAUUUUUUAUUAUGCAAGUUUUUGAACAAAUACAAAAGUUCAGAAAACAGUAUAAUGAACAGCAUAUACCUAUCACUCAGGUAAUCCGGAUUUUUCACACUUGCAUCAUCUAUCUUUUGUUUGGGACUGAAAUAUUUUAAAGCACAUCUAAGACCUUAUCCUGACUUAUCUUUUCAUUUUAGUGAUCUCCUUGCAAGUAAUUGUAGCAGAUAAUAUUAUCAUCAUUUGAUAGGAGAAGCUGAGUCCCAUACUUUUAACUUGCCUAAGGUCACCCGAGGAGUUAGUAGCAGAGCUAUGAUCGCCUCUUUCUCAACUCCAUUAGACUUGCUGGCAUAAUUUCACAGUUCCCAGCGCCCCUUGUCCUUGAGAACUGUUCCCUGCGUAAGACUUAGUUUUAGCAGGUCUGUCCUUUUACUGUGUGACAACCCUAAC